AUCUUCGGACCUUGCGCUUUGGAGCGCCGAUGUCGGAUUAGCUAGUUGGUGAGGUAAAGGCUCACCAAGGCGACGAUCCGUAGCGGGUCUGAGAGGAUGAUCCGCCACACUGGGACUGAGACACGGCCCAGACUCCUACGGGAGGCAGCAGUGGGGAAUUUUGGACAAUGGGCGCAAGCCUGAUCCAGCCAUGCCGCGUGAGUGAAGAAGGCCUUCGGGUUGUAAAGCUCUUUCGGUGGGGAAGAAAUUGCUUCGGUUAAUACCUGGAGUAGAUGACGGUACCCGCAUAAGAAGCACCGGCUAACUACGUG
rnacentral:rRNA from 1 species